AUUGAACGCUGGCGGCAUGCUUUACACAUGCAAGUCGAACGGUAACAGGUUAAGCUGACGAGUGGCGAACGGGUGAGUAAUGCAUCGGAACGUGCCCGGUCGUGGGGGAUAACGCAGCGAAAGCUGCGCUAAUACCGCAUACGAUCUGAGGAUGAAAGCGGGGGACCGUAAGGCCUCGCGCGAUCGGAGCGGCCGAUGUCAGAUUAGGUAGUUGGUGGGGUAAAGGCUCACCAAGCCGACGAUCUGUAGCUGGUCUGAGAGGACGACCAGCCACACUGGGACUGAGACACGGCCCAGACUCCUACGGGAGGCAGCAGUGGGGAAUUUUGGACAAUGGGCGCAAGCCUGAUCCAGCAAUGCCGCGUGCAGGAAGAAGGCCUUCGGGUUGUAAACUGCUUUUGUACGGAGCGAAAAGGCUCUCUCUAAUACAGGGGGCUCAUGACGGUACCGUAAGAAUAAGCACCGGCUAACUACGUGCCAGCAGCCGCCGCGG
rnacentral:rRNA from 1 species